GCUCAAUCCAGCAGUUGAACUUAUUAUAAAAUGAUAGCAUAUGGCCUUUAUAUUAUUUUUUAUUAUUAUUAAAAAAAAAGGAGAUUUUCAUAAUUAAAUUUUGUAAUCUCACUUUUUAUUUCUAUACUUUUGUAGGUUGAACUUAUUAGAAAAUCAUUGCAUAUCUUCAAGUGACUUAAUUUUCUCCGUCAUCCCUACUCGCUAGUUGCAUCACAUGUUGGAUCAAUAGUGUCAUGUUCAAGUGAGAAGAGCCCGAACUCUUCAACUGCACUCUUGGCCAUCUCUCCAAUUUGUGUUGCUCUUUCUCUUCUAUCUUCACCUUCCU
rnacentral:misc_RNA from 1 species